rnacentral:rRNA from 1 species
CGAAGGCCCGGAGCUUGCUCCGGUCACCUUAGUGGCGGACGGGUGAGUAACACGUGGGAAUUUGCCCAGGAGUGGGGAAUAACAGUUGGAAACGACUGCUAAUACCGCAUACACCCUACGGGGGAAAGGCUUCGGCCGCUCUUGGAUGAGCCCGCGUCAGAUUAGCUUGUUGGUGAGGUAACGGCUCACCAAGGCGACGAUCUGUAGCUGGUCUGAGAGGAUGAUCAGCCACACUGGGACUGAGACACGGCCCAGACUCCUACGGGAGGCAGCAGUGGGGAAUAUUGGACAAUGGGGGAAACCCUGAUCCAGCCAUGCCGCGUGAGUGAAGAAGGCCUUAGGGUUGUAAAACUCUUUCAGUCGUGACGAUGAUGACGGUAACGACAGAAGAAGCCCCGGCUAACUCCGUGCCAGCAGCCGCGGUAAUACGGAGGGGGCUAGCGUUGUUCGGAUUUACUGGGCGUAAAGCGCACGUAGGCGGCGUAUCUAGUUAGAGGUGAAAGGCCCGGGCUCAACCUGGGAACUGCCUUUAAUACUGGUAUGCUAGAGUCCGGGAGGGGGUAGCGGAAUUCCAAGUGUAGAGGUGAAAUUCGUAGAUAUUUGGAAGAACACCGGUGGCGAGGGCGGCUACCUG